rnacentral:rRNA from 1 species
CCUACGGGAGGCAGCAGUGGGGAAUAUUGGACAAUGGGCGGAACCCUGAUCCAGCAACGCCGCGUGAGUGAAGAAGUCCUUCGGGAUGUAAAGUUCUUUUAGCAGGGAGGAAAAUUACGGUAACUUACUAAGAAGCCCCGGCUAACUACGUGCCAGCAGCCGCGGUCAUACGUAGGGGGCAAGCGUUACCCGGAUUUACUGGGGGUAACGGGAGCGAAGACGGUGCAGCAAGUCGGGUGUGAAAGGUUUGGGCCCAACCCCGGGACUGCAAUGGAAACUGUUGGACUGGAGUACGGGAGAGGUAAGCGGAAUUCCUGGUGUAGCGGUGAAAUGCAUAGAUAUUAGAAGGAACACCAGUGGCGAAGGCGGCUUACUGGACUGUAACUGACGUUGAGGCUCGAAAGCGUGGGGAGCAAACAGGAUUAGAUACCCGUGUAGUC